UACGAAGGGGACUAGCGUUGUUCGGAAUUACUGGGCGUAAAGCGCACGUAGGCGGAUUUGUAAGUCAGGGGUGAAAUCCCGGGGCUCAACCUCGGAACUGCCUUUGAUACUGCAAAUCUCGAGUCCGAUAGAGGUGGGUGGAAUUCCUAGUGUAGAGGUGAAAUUCGUAGAUAUUAGGAAGAACACCGGUGGCGAAGGCGGCCCACUGGAUCGGUACUGACGCUGAGGUACGAAAGCGUGGGGAGCAAACAGG
rnacentral:rRNA from 1 species